rnacentral:tRNA from 4 species
GACCCCGUAGCUCAGUUGGAUAGAGCGGCGGUUUCCUAAACCGCAGGCCACAGGUUCGAUUCCUGUCGGGGUCG